rnacentral:rRNA from 1 species
AUUGAACGCUGGCGGCAUGCUUUACACAUGCAAGUCGAACGGCAGCGCGGGCUUCGGCCUGGCGGCGAGUGGCGAACGGGUGAGUAAUGCAUCGGAACGUGCCCAGUAGUGGGGGAUAGCCCGGCGAAAGCCGGAUUAAUACCGCAUACGACCUGAGGGUGAAAGCGGGGGACCGAAAGGCCUCGCGCUAUUGGAUCGGCCGAUGUCGGAUUAGCUAGUUGGUGGGGUAAAGGCUUACCAAGGCGACGAUCCGUAGCUGGUCUGAGAGGACGACCAGCCACACUGGGACUGAGACACGGCCCAGACUCCUACGGGAGGCAGCAGUGGGGAAUUUUGGACAAUGGGGGCAAGCCUGAUCCAGCCAUGCCGCGUGCGGGAAGAAGGCCUUCGGGUUGUAAACCGCUUUUGUUCGGGAAGAAAUCCUCUGGGCUAAUACCCCGGGGGGAUGACGGUACCGGAAGAAUAAGCACCGGCUAACUACGUG